GCCUGGGUGAAGAGCUGUGCACAGAAUACCAUCACUUCUAUAGGAUUCUGCUUGCAAACGAGUGAGCAUAUUCAGAGCUGCCUGUAAAGAGAUAAGAAAAAUAUCUGGAAAACAGGAAGCAGUUUGCUCCAGGACAUACAUUCUAUAAACCGAAGCCCAAAACUGAACAGCAUCUUCCAUGUCAACUAACAGUUUUCGUUAGAAGAAAGAGGAGAGAGCUGGGUCCCAGCAAUCAGACAAGUGGCAGAGUAUCAC